AACGAACGCUGGCGGUAUGCUUAACACAUGCAAGUCGAACGAGAAAGCUUCUUCGGAAGUGAGUAGAGUGGCGCACGGGUGAGUAACACGUAGAUAACCUACCCUUCAGCCCGGGACAACCCUUCGAAAGGGGGGCUAAUACCGGAUAAUACCUAUGAUCGAGUGGUCUAAGGUUGAAAGAUUUAUCACUGAUGGAUGGGUCUGCGUACCAUUAGCUAGUUGGUGGGGUAACGGCCUACCAAGGCUCCGAUGGUUAGCGGGUCUGAGAGGAUGAUCCGCCACACUGGAACUGAGACACGGUCCAG
rnacentral:rRNA from 1 species